rnacentral:tRNA from 1 species
GCUCGUGUAGCUCAGUCGGCAGAGCACUAGCAUGGUAAGCUAGAGGUCACCAGUUCAAUCCUGGUCGCGAGCU